UUGUUGUUGUUGUUGUUGUUGUUGGGUUUUUUUGUUUUGUUUUGUUUUGUUUUUUUGAGGCUUUAGAAGAUAAUCCACUUAUUUGCCUCUUUCAGCUUCUGGAGGACCCUUCAUCGCUUGGCUUAUGGCCCUCUUCAUCCAUCUUCAAAGCCAGGAACAUUGCAUUUACCUGAACAUUCUUCUAUAGUCUCAUCUCCCUCUGGCCAUAGCCGAGAAAUGUUCUUCACUUUGAAGAAACCAUAUGGGUUGAAUUGUGGCCCCUCAAAAGCAAUUUAUACAGAUGAAGUCCCAACUCUGGCCACCAAUAUUAGCUGGAUAAUUCUUUGAAUCUGGCUAAUGUGGAAUCUUGCAAGGACAAAGAGGAUUUGCUCAUGAACUGAUUCCAGGCACUUGCACAUCACUGUGCCCCUGCUUCUAUUCAGCACUGCAUUUCAUUUUGCCUCAUGAUAUGGGUUGUAUGCACUGGUGAGCCAUCUGAUCCUUAAUGUCAUCUACUAGGUAAGUUGCACCUUUGAUAUCCCUCCACCUGUCCCCUUCAGCUCUAAUGGUUCUCUUUGAUACUUCCAUGCUUCAUUUGAGGACUUGGAAAUCAUUCUGCUCCUUCCUGGUCAUAAACAGGCACAGAAAUUUAUUUCCUUCUUCUUUCCCCAAGGCUUUUGCCAGGAGGCAAUUUGCAAAGACCCUCUUGCUGGGUUCCAGUUAUACCUAUAGUCUCAAAGUUUCUCUUUUUCUCCUAUACUCCUCAGUAAACAUGUUCACUUUACUCUCUGUCCUCUCUAGUGCCCUCGGAACUUAAUUUUUUGGACACCCAAACUGAUCACUCUUUUAUUUCUGCUUUUGUUCAGUCAUAUCCCUCCCCGAGGCAAUGAACACAAAAUUGUGGAACUGAUGGAAUUGGGAAGGGAGUGGUGGUCAUUGGGGUACAGACUAGACUACUAGGAGAAAAAAUGAUUUCAAAUAAUAUUAUCCUGAUCUAAAAUCUAAAUGAUUUAAAAUCAUCAUCAUCACCAACACCAUCACCAUUAUCAUCAUCAUUAUUAUCAUCAACAUCAUCAAUAUUCUUUGUUACCUAAAUACUCCUCUUGACCUAUUAUGUCCACUUUGAGUUACUUCUCCAGUACUAAAAUUAAGCUUUUCUGCAGCUAAUUUUUAUUCCCUGGAGCUUCUGGGAUUCUGGGAUUUGGCACCAGGGGCAGUCUGUUGCCUGGAAGCUAGGCAGAGCACCCCAUAAAACUAUUGGAUAAAGCCAAAUUGUCCGUAUCCUCUCUCCCUUUAGUGUCAAGUACAGUCAUUACUCUGCAUAAAGAUGUUGUUUACUAAAUUCAUUUUUAAGGGGUACUAUGAUUUAAAUAUUUGUCCCCUCCAAAAUUCAUGUUGAAAUUUAUUUGUCAUUGUGACAAUAUUGGGAUAUGUGACAUUUAAGAGGUGUUUAAGUCAUGAUGGCUCCUUCUUCAUGAAUGAACUAAUGUUAUUAUUACAGGAGUGGGUUUGCUAUUGUUAUCACAGGAAUGAGUUUGCUCCUCCUUGAUCUCUUUCUCUUUUUUGGCCCUUGCACCAUGUGAUGCCUUCUGCCAUGUUAUUAUGCAGCAAGAAGGCCCUCACCAGAAACUGGCACCUUUAUAUUGGACUUUCCAGAACCAUGAGCCAAUACAUUUGUGUUCAUUAUAAAAUACCCAGUUUGUGGUAUUCUGUUAUAGCAGCAAAACAAACAAACAAACAAACAAACAAACAAACAAAACUAAGACAUCCUGAAAGAGCAGUGUGUGUACUUCUUGGCUUUUAUGAAAUUGCUAGUUAGAAGUCCAGAUAUUGCAAAUAUUUUCAAAUCUUAAUACUUCUGAUUGCAAAUUGUGUAUAUACACAUAGAAGUGUUCACAUAGGGAGGUGUGUCAAGAAGGGAUGCAAACAACAGAUAGAGAGAAAUGAAUCAAUUAGGAUAGUCUAGUAUAGGGGCCAAUGGAAAUAUUCAGUUUCAAAAAACCAAUAAGUACUCAAAUUAUGGGUAAGAGCGACAGAAAGAAACUGAUGCCUGGAGGGAUAAAAUUGGAAGCUUGGCUUUGUUUUCAGUAAGAGACAGAGGUUAGUAGGACAAGAGAGAAAGCAACAGCAAAUGUUAAUUCAAAGCUCAUUUCCCCUUCCUUGCCUUCCUCUCACCCUAGCUCCUUGUCCCAUGGUGAGAAAUAAUGAUCAUGUUCCACACUUGGAAGAAUGGGUAAUGGGAAGCAUGGUGAGAGGAAAUGACUUUUCUCAGCUAAUUGUCAGCAGUAGUUGAAGGACCCACAAGUGGUAUCUCUCUGGGUGCUCUCCCAUACAUGCUUCCAAAGCAGACUCUGGUUGGUUAACUCAGCUGGUCAAAACCCUGUGGUAAUAGAACCAAGGUAGUGGGUCCCUUCUAAUUUGGGUCUGGUGGCUUAACUCUGCUCCCCAGCUACAGAUGGAACCCAGGUCAUAAGCUUUAACCCUAUGUAUAGUCUCAGCCUGAGCCUAGCCUUAAUCCCAGAAAAAAACUCAAACCCUGGUCACAGGUAGAGCCCUAUUAUUGGCCAGAGGCUGAGGUCCUAAUCCUGAUCAUAGGCUGACCUCUAAUCCUUGUCAUAGUUUGAGCUCUUAAACCCAGCCAUAGGUUGAGCCCCUGACCUUGGCUAGCUACCUCAGUUAUAUGUAUUAUGAGACAUCAAAGGGAUCAGGAAAGAAGAUAAAGAUGUUGUAGUGUAUCUCCAUUAUUUCUACUAAGAAAAGGAACUUACUCUAUUAAUAGGACAUGGGUAACCUAUUUUCCUGUGAUAACAAAUGAUAUAUACAUGUUUUUAUUUACUAGAAGCCACAGGGAGAAGUUUGCUGGAGUGAGAGUAUGAGAACUGUUGCCUCUAACUUUGAGGAUAGAAUUUAGGAUAGAUGUGAUAAAGUCUCUUUGAAAAUAUAUCUGCCAUUUUAUUUCAUUUGUUAAAAAGACAGCAGUGGUGUUUGUUUUGCUCCACUCUCUCAUGUUUAAGAUACCAAGGGCAAUGCCAUGACAGCAAUUUAUGAAAAUGCACCUAGUAUUUAGAGCCCUUUUCUCUCCUGAAUCCUUUACCUCAUUGAUAAUGCCAAAGCAUCUAAAGCCUCCAACAUUUGAAUCAGUUUUUUGGGUUUUGACAUGGGUAGCUUCUAUUUUAUUGCAGAUCUUACUUGGGACAUUUCCCAUAUAUAGAUAAUGAUAAUUAAAAUACAGUUAGAAAAGGAGUCUGUUCUGAGUAACCAACAUAAACUUCUCAGCAUUCAAAUCAAUCCAAAAGUUGGUUGGUAAAGUGUACAAAAGUUUUAAAUACAAACUGGAAAAAUAACACUUAAAAUGGAGUAAAUCUUACUUGAGAGUUAAAAAAUAUUUAAUGCAAGUCUGAAAUUUUGCCUCAAAUGUCUAUACAAGUAUAGGGAGAAGUUGGUAGCUAACAUUAGUUACCCAAAAGGCAGUCGUAUCAAAAGCAGGGAAAGGUUGGGUGCCUCUCCACUUCCAGGCAGUAAUUGAUCCUAGGUAAUUGAUCAAAGUUUGCUAGAAGGUACAGUAUUUCACAUAUGCUGCCCAGAGACAAACUUCUGACCUGCUUGAAAUUUCUAGUUGAAAAAAUAUAUAUCCUUGCAAUUAUUUUCAAACCUUAACACUUCUGAUUAUAAGGUACUCCCAUCUAUUAGGGAAGCAUGAUAUCUGGAUUGCUGUAAAAGAUGGCGGUACUAUAGAAGGCUACUAUAUAUGUAACAAACCUGCAUAUUUUGUACAUGUACCCUAGAACUUAAAGUAGAAUAAAAAAAUUAAAAUUAAAGUUAAAAAAAUAUAUCUUCAAUCUCUCCCUCCUUUCUCAUCAGUUUUUAAUUAAUCUCAAGUUGCCUUCUUAAUAUAAAAUACAACAAAAAUAAUCCUUCAAUCCUAUAUUCUGUUUCUUAGCCAAAGUUUAUCAAAUAGGGUGAGCUUAGCAUCUAUACUUCCUCAGCUGCACUUAGUUUUUACUUUAAACUUUAUUGAGGUGUAAUUUACAUGCAAUAAAAUGCACACAUUUUAAGUGUACAUUUAAUGAGUUCUGAAGAAUUCGUAAACCUAUGUACCCAUCAUCACAAUCAUGCUAUAGAACACUUUCAUCACCCCAAAAGUCAAUUGCCUCUUCCUAGUUAAUUUUCUACCUCUCAGCCCCAGAAAAACUCUAAUAUUCUUUUUGUUGCUAUAAAUUAAUUUGUUUUGGAGAGGGGCAGGUUCAUAUCAAUCGAGUAUAAUGUGUACUUUAAAAUUUUUAAUUUAUUUUCUUUUCAGAUAAUUUGUUUUUCUUCCUCUUGAUUGAGGUAUAAUUGACACAUAAAAAUUACAUAAAUUUAAGUGCAACAUGAUGAUUCAGUAUGCAUAUGCAUUGUGCUCAGAAUUACCUUUUUUCAUGGUGAGAGUACUUAAGAUCUACUGUCUUAGCGAAGUUAAAUGUAGUCACCAUACAUUACAUUAGAUCUUCAGAACUUAUUUGUCUUAUAACUGAAAGUUUGUACCCAUUGACUAACAUCUCCCUGUUCCCUCCCCUCACUCCUGCCCCCAGCCUUUGGCAACAACCAUUCUACUCUCUGCUUCUGUGAGUUCAACUUUUUUAGACAUAUUAG